rnacentral:rRNA from 1 species
CCUACGGGUGGCUGCAGUGGGGAAUAUUGCACAAUGGGGGCAACCCUGAUGCAGCGACGCCGCGUGAGUGAAGAAGGAUUUCGGUAUGUAAAGCUCUAUCAGCAGGGAAGAAAAUGACGGUACCUGAUUCAGAAGCCCCGGCUAACUACGUGCCAGCAGCCGCGGUAAUACGUAGGGGGCAAGCGUUAUCCGGAUUUACUGGGUGUAAAGGGAGCGUAGACGGCAGCGCAAGUCUGAAGUGAAAUGCCGGGGCUUAACCCCGGAACUGCCUUUGAAACUGUGCAGCUAGAGUGCAGGUGAGGUAAGUGGAAUUCAUGGUGUAGCGGUGAAAUGCGUAGAUAUUAGGCGGAACACCAGUGGCGAAGGCGGCUUACUGGACUGUAACUGACGUUGAGGCUCGAAAGCGUGGGGAGCAAACAGGAUUAGAUACCCGUGUAGUC